UCCUUCGUGGCGCAAUUGGCUAGCGCGUUCGACUGUUAAGCUAACGUUAAAGCAGUUCGAUCCUAUCCGAAGGAG
rnacentral:tRNA from 1 species